GCCAGUGUGACGUAGUGGGUUUGAGUGUCGGACUAUGACUCUGGAGACCAGGGUUCAAUUCCCAGCUCAGCCA